AGGCUAGUCUUGAACUCUUGGCCUCAGGCAAUCUUCCUGCCUUUACCUCCGGAGACAAUGGGAUUACAGACAUGAGCCACCAUGCCCAGUGACGAAACUUCAGCUUUAAGAGGUUAAAAGACUUGUCCAGAGUCAUGUUAACAGGAACUAAUUUUGAAGCACCAGAAUGCUGUGAAUUGGCUGUAAAACAAUGUUGAAGAAACUCAACAUAGAACAGAAGGCACACUUUCCUUAGGAAGAAUGCUGAUAAAAUUUUAAUGAACUAACAUGUUGUCAUGGGGAUUUGUUGCUAUUCAUUAAUUCAUUGUGCUGUUCCUCUAUAGUUUUGCUGAAGUUGACUGACAAAUUGUCAAGUCGCGGUUCUGGUGGUUUACACUACCUCAUUGAUAGCCUAAAUUUAGGGGGUAAAUUCUUCUAGAGACUUACCCCAUUGCAUUUGGGGUAACACAUUUUUCGCACUAUGUGUGCUCAAUUGUAUUUCAAAUGAAACUCCAUCUCUAGAGUAGGCCUUUGACUCUGCAAAACAGUGGAAAUAAUCACAGAAUGAUUGACAGCUCUGGUCACAGAUGGGGACUACCAUAGAAGCCAGGGCUGGGGAAGGCUCUACCAUAAAUAGUCAACUGGCCUCCUAUGAAUUAGGAUAAAAUUCUCAGUGGAAAAGAGUAAUUUAAUCAUAAAAAUCAUAGAAUGCCAGAAGCUUGCAGGGACCUCAAAAUCUGUCUAACUCUUUCGUUUUGCAAAUAAGAAAAUGGAUGACACCCAGAGAGGUGAAGAUUUAUAAAGGAUAUGAGUGGCAAAACAAGGAUCAGAAACUCAGUAUAUUGGCUUAUUUUCUUGUCAUUAUGCCUCCCUGGAUUUCUUCUCUUGUUCUUUUCACUUCUAACGGAUUUCAUACUUUCCCCCUGAAAUUAGCCCUAAUCACAGAAUAACAUGAAACAAUAUCCCUGGGGUUUAGGAACAUAGCCAUGGUUGGCCAAUCAUAAGCUCGCAUGUUAUCUUUUAAAUGCACACGAAUUUUAUGCUAUAAAUGAUCCAUGUUUGUAUUAAUAGAAUUUUUCCAAAUCUUUGAGUAAAAUGAUGCUCUAGGAAAAUUUAGCAAACUUGCCCAAUACUUUAUAUACCUCCAGGCACUGCUGCAUACCCAGAUUGUGAUAAGCAAAUAAAGAUCACUGGCAAAAAGCACAAUCAGAGCAAGAAAUAUGAGGGAUCCCCCUAUCAUAGUGAUCAUUAAACAAUAUUGAUGGGGCUUGAUACCUACUUCUGUGCCUUGAUGGGGGCCAGCUGAAAGGAAAAGCAUAGGUUGUUCUGCUCUGUGGUGGCUAUGGCAUUGAGAAGCAGCCAGAGGUGAAAAGUCCCACAACCUGGCACAAAAUAUUCAUGUCGUAUUUGCAGAGACAGCCAAAGAUCAGUGGAUAGAAGGUUUGAUUGUUGUUGUUGUUUUCUUUUUUUCCUUUUUAAAUCCUAUUCUCCCUACUGCCAAACGUUUGAGGAUAUUAGUUUCAAAUCAACUUAUUGAUUGCCCACUUUUGCAGAACACUGAGAGGAUUCUAAUUUAUAAUAUGCAAAUACUCUAAAUGCCCAAAGCAAGGUGCUAAACAGUAAACCAACAAAAAAUCCUUUCUCAUUAUUAAACUCCAACAGCUUCAUUUUACAUCCUAAAUCAUUGCUACUCAAAAGCAUGGCCAUUGCAUCAUAAGUAUCACCUCGGAUCUGCUAGAAACAUGGAAUUUCAAGUCCCACCUCAGACUUAGCAAAUCAGAAUCUGCCUUUUAAUAAGAUCCCCAGAUGAUACAUAUGCACAUGAAAGUUUGAGAAGCUUUGGGCUACCUUACAUAAUACCAACAUAGUAUCCUAACAUUUAUGCUAAUAACACACAUAACACAACCCAAAUAGAGAUACUUACUGGUACUUUACCUUUAUGUUGUUCCCAACAGGCAAGAAUAAUUACUGGUAAAUUUAACUGUGCUUUUUUUAAAAAAAAAAAAAAGAACCUUUUUAUUGAUAUAUCUAAAAGCUUGUUUAACUAUGUACAUAAUGAAAACAAUUGCUAUCCUUCCUCCCAAGAAAUGCAAAGCUUGUAAAAUCUCAAUACAUUUUUAUUUACUAAUGGCUAUAUCCAAAUAAUAGCAACAGCAAAAUUCACUGGGGGUUCUGUAAUGGGCCAGGCACUGUACUGUAUAGAUUGUGCACACUAUUCAAUUGAGCAUUCUCCACAACCCAAACAUGUGGACAAUAAUAUCACCUUCGUUUUACAGAAAGAUAAAUUAAAGCAUAUAAGUAGUCUGUCUAGGAACUAACAGUUAGUAUGAAGUAAAAGUGAGAUCAGAACCCACAAAAAUGGGACCUGUCACCCACCACACUAGUUUUGAUUAGGCUAUUAGCACUGCAAAAAAAAAAUAGCGUAAACCCAACACAAAUAUAUCUCACUCUAGGAUUAGUCUUCAGAUAGGACAUGUUUUUAUUUUGUGGAAUACCUAUUGACUACUAAUUACAUACCUGCCAUACAUGUAACAGCCUAAAAAAAAAGCAGUUAGAACUAUAUUUAGCAGCUAAGAUAAUUUCUUAAGCUAAUAAUUAACCUUAAAAAAAGAUUUGAAGUCCUUUUAGAUGAGCAAAAUAAUUGACACUUUGACUAAUUUUACUUGAAAGAAUCCAUCUAAAAUAAAAAUUAGAAAUAAAUAAUAAAUAAAUCAGAAACAGGAGCUAUUUUUCACAGUAAUCUUAUGCCUUUUCAAAAUUAACCUAAUACAAAAUCCAGCAUUAUAGUAUUAUGUAAGCAAAUUAUAUAUAUCAUACAUUAAAAUGUUACAAUGUCAUUAAAAUUAUAAUUGCAAACAAUUUUCUAUAAGAAUAUAUUCCUUAAAUUUAAAAAGCUGGAUACAAAAUGAUAUCUCUUCUAUAUACAGAGAGAGAAUGAGAGAGAAAAUGUGAAAAUACAUCAGAAUAUGUAAAUAUAUAUUUUAUAUAUAUAAUACAUAUCCAAAGAAAAUAUACCACAUUCUAAAUUUAAUUAUAUAUGAUGAUUUGUGUUAUAUUUAGAUUUUCCUUUUUUUAUAUAUUUUGGACUAUUAACCAAAAUAAAUAUGUAUUACUUUACAAGUUACUUUAUAAUUUCUCAAACCAGGGAAACUAUGUUCUUUAUUCAUUAAAUUUCAAGACCCAGUGUAUUUAUUGGAAUUUCAUAAAAUACAUUUAAAUUUCAAACUUUUUGGUCUUUACAGAGCAAGGAUUUUGGUUUAUUCAGCAUUUUCCUGAGUAAACACAUGCAAGUAAAAAGUCUCAUUGGACUAUAACCAACAAGUGCUUAUUUGAAGAUCCCAGGGUUGAUUUGUUAAUUAUAGACUUCCAUUUAGUUUAUGUAUAUAGCAGAUAUUUGAAUUGGUACACACUUGAAGCACAGAGAGAUUAUGAACUAAAGCAAAAUACAGUCCUAUAUGGAUUUUAGCUGAUGUCGCUUGAGAGUUCCACUGAGCCACAUUCAACAGUAGUUACAGAUUUAAAGAUUUAUCAUUUUCUCAUUUUAAGAUGAAUACCAUUAUCACUUAAAAGUCCCUUUUAUUUCAUUCAUUAAACUCUAUUAAAAUCAUAGAUUGUUCAGAAGCAAUUUUUCUUUGAAAUUCUUGAUUUUGAAAGCAUUUUUUAUCAUUGAGAAGACACAAUUCCCUCCCCAGAUUUGUGUCAGUUUCCCUCUAACUGGGACUCCUAGUAACUUUAAAAAUUAUUCCAUGAGCAGCACACAAACAGUCCCCACCCAGGUGCAUUAUUUAUUUUUUUCCUAAAGAUCUACAGUAAACAUAAGACAAAUGAAAAAAAAAUCACUAUCAAAUUAAGUUCAGGUGACCUAGCCAUUUUUAGCAUAGAGUUAUAUUCCAGAACCUCAGGUUAGCAAAACUCACAUAGGCAGUCGAAUCUUUGCUUUUCAAAUUUAGACACAAAAGAAUCUCCAAAGCAAUGGAUGACAUUUUAUCAUGUGAUUCCCAAUAAUUAAUUUGUUAUGGGCCCACAUAAAUAAAAUAAAUGCUGAGUGAUACAUUGACUUCUGUUAUCGAAAGCAUCUCCCUUCUCACUCCUGCCUCUCUGGCUCCUGACAUUAUUUCUUGGUUAUUGGUUGACAGUUCAGUGCCUUGAGUGUUGCUCUCGCUGUAGGGUUAGCAGGAUAAUUGACAAACCACAGGGAUUGAAUCCCUGGAUUAGGAUGACCGGACUGUCAAAACAACCAUGACAAACUCUCACAUCAACUUCGACUGCAAGUCAAAGCUGUGAGGGAAAAAUUCACCUUGGCAGGGCCAGAUGGGAAGUCUUUAGUUUAAAAUAUUUCCCACUACAAAAUGUAUUUCAGCAAGAAAGAGGAACAAUAUAAGAGUUUUUAAAGUACAAUUCAUAGAGAAAUACUUCAAUACAGUCCCUAUUAAUU
rnacentral:lncRNA from 1 species